GUUCCCAUGUUUGAGGAAGCAUUUGGUGUUGCUGUGCAAAGUGUUGCUGCAGUGGAGGUUCAAGGUUACUGUUUAUUGAUAUGGAUCCCAUCAUACUUUGUUCAUUGUUUGUUCAGGAGUUUGCCCUAAGUCUCCGUGUUUGAGGGCCUAUUCUGUGGAUAUAUUUAUUUGCACUUUUAUUGAUGCAGUAAAUAAAUAGUCUAUGAAAAAAAUCACUAAAUCUGUCAUUUAUUCAUUUUAAUAUAUUCAUCAAUGAUCAUGUCUCACCUCUAUUCCGUAUUAA